GAUGAACGCUGGCGGCGUGCCUAAUACAUGCAAGUCGAGCGGACAGACGAAGAGCGUGCUUUUCUGACUGUAGUGUCUUACGGGUGAGUGACACGUGGAGAACCUUACUUUAAGACUGUGAUAACUUCGGGGAACCGGAGCUAAGACCCGAUGAUUUAUUCAAUAUCAUAGUUCGAUAGUGAAUGACGUUUUGGCUGUCGCUUAUUCGUGAAUCCGGUCCGCAUUAGCUAGUUGGUAAGUUAACGGCUUAACAAAGCAACGAUGCGUAGCCGACCUGAGAGGGUGAUUGGCCACACGGGAACUGAGACACGGUCCAGACACCUACGGGAGGCAGCAGUCGGGACUCUUGCGCAAUGGGCGAAAGGCUGAUGGAGCAAAGCCGCGUGAAUGAUGAAGGUCUUAGGAUGGUAAAGCUAUGUUAGCAGGGAGGAAGAAAUGUGUAAGUAUAUAUGCACGUAUUGACGGUACCUAAUAAGAAAGCCCCGGCUAACUACGUG
rnacentral:rRNA from 1 species